GGAAGCGGUAACAGCUCAAAUUUGAAAUCUGGCUCUUGCGGAGUCCGAGUUGUAAUUUGUAGAAGAUGCUUUGGGUUGUGGGUUCGGCCUAAGUUCCUUGGAACAGGACGUCAUAGAGGGUGAGAAUCCCGUAUGUGGCCGAGGCCCGCGCCUAUGUAAAGCUCUUUCAACGAGUCGAGUUGUUUGGGAAUGCAGCUCAAAAUGGGUGGUAAAUUUCAUCUAAAGCUAAAUAUGGGCCAGAGACCGAUAGCGCACAAGUAGAGUGAUCGAAAGAUGAAAAGCACUUUGGAAAGAGAGUUAAACAGUACGUGAAAUUGUUGAAAGGGAAGCGCUUGCAACCAGACUUGGGCGCUGCCGAUCACCUUGAGUUUUCUCGAGUGCACUCGACAGCGCACAGGCCAGCAUCGGUUCGGGUGGCUGGAUAAAGGCCGUAGGAAUGUGGCUCUCUUCGGGGAGUGUUAUAGCCUACGGUGCCAUGCAGCCCAGCCGGACCGAGGACCGCGCCUUCGGGCUAGGAUGCUGGCGUAAUGGUUGUAAGCGACCCGUCUUGAAACACGGACCAAGGAGUCUAACAUCUAUGCGAGUGUUUGGGUGGUAAACCCAUACGCGGAAUGAAAGUGAACGUAGGUGAGAACCCCUUUGGGGCGCAUCAUCGACCGAUCCUGAUGUCUUCGGAUGGAUUUGAGUAAGAGCUA
rnacentral:rRNA from 1 species